rnacentral:rRNA from 1 species
CCUACGGGGGGCUGCAGUGGGGAAUAUUGGACAAUGGGCGCAAGCCUGAUCCAGCCAUGCCGCGUGAGUGAUGAAGGCCUUAGGGUUGUAAAGCUCUUUUAGCAGGGACGAUAAUGACGGUACCUGCAGAAAAAGCCCCGGCCAACUUCGUGCCAGCAGCCGCGGUAAUACGAAGGGGGCUAGCGUUGCUCGGAAUCACUGGGCGUAAAGCGCACGUAGGUGGGUCGUUAAGUCGGGGGUGAAAUCCCAGAGCUCAACUCUGGAACUGCCUUCGAUACUGGCGACCUUCGAGUUCGGGAGAGGUGAGUGGAACUGCGAGUGUAGAGGUGAAAUUCGUAGAUAUUCGCAAGAACACCAGUGGCGAAGGCGGCUCACUGGCCCGAUACUGACACUGAGGUGCGAAAGCGUGGGGAGCAAACAGGAUUAGAUACCCCUGUAGUC